CGAGUGAAGCGGCAACAGCUCAAUUUGAAAUCUGGCCCUUUCGGGUCCGAGUUGUAAUUUGUAGAGGAUGCUUUUGGCAAGGCGCCGCCCGAGUUCCCUGGAACGGGACGCCACAGAGGGUGAGAGCCCCGUCUGGCUGGCCGCCGAGCCUCUGUAAAGCUCCUUCGACGAGUCGAGUAGUUUGGGAAUGCUGCUCAAAAUGGGAGGUAUAUGUCUUCUAAAGCUAAAUAUUGGCCAGAGACCGAUAGCGCACAAGUAGAGUGAUCGAAAGAUGAAAAGCACCUUGAAAAGAGGGUUAAAUAGUACGUGAAAUUGUUGAAAGGGAAGCGCUUGUGACCAGACUUGGGCGCGGCGGAUCAUCCGGGGUUCUCCCCGGUGCACUUCGCCGUGUCCAGGCCAGCAUCAGUUCGUCGCGGGGGAAAAAGGCUUCGGGAACGUGGCUCCCCUGGGAGUGUUAUAGCCCGUUGCAUAAUACCCUGCGGUGGACUGAGGACCGCGCAUCUGCAAGGAUGCUGGCGUAAUGGUCACCAGCGACCCGUCUUGAAACACGGACCAAGGAGUCGUCUUCGUAUGCGAGUGUUCGGGUGUCAAACCCCUACGCGUAAUGAAAGUGAACGCAGGUGAGAGCUUCGGCGCAUCAUCGACCGAUCCUGAUGUUCUCGGAUGGAUUUGAGUAAGAGCAUACGGGGCCGGACCCGAAAGAAGGUGAACUAUGCCUGUAUAGGGUGAAGCCAGAGGAAACUCUGGUGGAGGCUCGCAGCGGUUCUGACGUGCAAAUCGAUCGUCAAAUAUGGGCAUGGGGGCGAAAGACUAAUCGAACCUUCUAGUAGCUGGUUUCCGCCGAAGUUUCCCUCAGGAUAGCAGUGUUGAACUCAGUUUUAUGAGGUAAAGCGAAUGAUUAGGGACCCGGGGGCGCUAUAUUGCCUUCAUCCAUUCUCAAACUUUAAAUAUGUAAGAAGCCCUUGUUGCUUAAUUGAACGUGGGCAUUCGAAUGUAUCAACACUAGUGGGCCAUUUUUGGUAAGCAGAACUGGCGAUGCGGGAUGAACCGAACGCGAGGUUAAGGUGCCAGAGUAGACGCUCAUCAGACACCACAAAAGGCGUUAGUACAUCUUGACAGCAGGACGGUGGCCAUGGAAGUCGGAAUCCGCUAAGGACUGUGUAACAACUCACCUGCCGAACGUACUAGCCCUGAAAAUGGAUGGCGCUCAAGCGUCUCACCCAUACCUCGCCCUCGGGGUAGAAACGAUGCCCCGAGGAGUAGGCGGACGUGG
rnacentral:rRNA from 1 species